ACAGAGCGGGCACCGGCGGGGCGGAGGCAGGCGGGGCUCCCUGGUUUUCCCUGGUUCUCUCCGGCGGUGCCGAGGCGCGAUGUGGCGGCCGGAGCCGCAGGCCGGCUCCGGCUCGCCGGGCUGCCCUGACCUGCUGCAGCACGUCCAGGCGUUGCGCUCGCCGCCCUCCCCGCUUUACCUCAGCUUCUUCGAGGAGGAGUGUCGCGCCAUCGCCGCCCGCCUGCGCCUCGGGUCGGCCGCGGAGCCCUCGCCGGGCCCGAGGGAGGUCAGCGCGCAGCACCCCGAGCCCGCCGGACCCGUCACCUCCACGCCGCUGUCCGUCCCGAGCCACGGGCGGGUUCUGGACUUGAGCGCGGGCGACUGCGAGGCCGCUGCUGCUCCUAGCCCGGGCCCGGCCCGAAAGCAGCCCGGGUGCCUCUCGCAGCCCACGGCCACUGGUGGCCCCGGCGGCUGCCCCGCUCGCCCUCCCGUCCAGUCCCGGCGGGCGCGGCGCGGUGCCGGGCAGGCCUUCGGCGGCCGCCCCGGCAGCCCUGGCCGCACCCCGGGCCGCGGCCGCUCCCGGCUCGCUCUCCCCCGCGCACGGGCCUCGCUGGGGCUGCAGCUCCCCGCGGCCGGCACGGGGCGCGGCGCCUGGGAAACGCGGCUCCUCCAGCCCCCAGGGACCAGGCCGAAGCUGACGUCUCCUGCCAGGACCAGGCUUCAGCAUGCCAGCGGGGCUUCGCAGCAGGCACAGCCUUCCAAGCUUCCCACACCCGCCCCCCGGGACAGAGAGAUGAAAACUGCUGUCAAGGCUGGGAGUCGUAAACAGCCGUCUUCAAGGCUCUCUACAGCAAUUGCUACCGUGGCUUCCCGCUCCUUGCCGCGGCCUCCGGGAAAAGUGGUUUCGUCCAAGCGUUUUUGCCUCAGUAAAGGAUCAACUAUGCAGGAGCUGGUGUGCAAUAGGACCCAAGAGCUGAAGGAAAAUGGUGAGAGCAAAGAAGGGUUGGUUGCAGCAGGGACUGUCUUGGGAACAGGUGAGCGGUAUGGAGGUGUAGAUUCUUGCCUUGUGUUGGGAGGAGUGUGGAGAAACAUGGGCAGCUGCUUGUUGGGCAGCGCUACUCCCCAGCUGAGCCCUGGUUGACCAGGAGUGCUGAGGGUGCUCCAGCCGGUGCUGCAGGCAGGGGGUGCUGCCUUCCCAGAAACUGCAGCUGGGCAGCCUGCGCUCCUGAGCUCUACAGAAGGAGGAGAAGUGAAGAGGCUGUCUCCACUCUGCUGGGACAGCCCUGUCCUAUCCUGCCCGGGGCAGCUGCCUGCCCUCCCUAUGAGAGCAGACUCCUAGCAGGAGGCCAGAGCUGCUGGGAGUGAGGCCACGCAGGAACACUUUCACGAAGCACCCAUACAGGCCAAGCCAGCACCAGCUGUUGGGCUGCAAGUGCUGGGAGACUUUCUGACUCUCUUGGACAGGUAAGACUGACCAGACGUGGGUGUGUGCGGAGUCCUCUUUGUCCCGUGAGUUGGCCCCUGGCCUGACUUCAGGGUGUG